rnacentral:rRNA from 1 species
GACAGGGGAUGCAAGCGUUACUCGGAAUUACUGGGCGUAAAGCGUCUGCAGGUGUCCUGUUACGUCUGAUGUCAAAUGGCGAUGCUUAACAUCGUCAGCGCAUCGGAAACGAGCGGGAUCGAGUCACCCAGAGGCAUCUGGAAUGUCGUGUGUAGGGGUAAAAUCCGUAGAUCCACGAUGGAACGCCGAAAGCGAAGGCAGGAUGCUGGGGGUGCACUGACACUCAGAGACGAAAGCGUGGGGAGCAAAG